rnacentral:ncRNA from 1 species
UACAGAAAAAGGCAAACCUAUUGAAAAAUAGGGACGCAAAGCCGAGGGUCUAAGGUAUGAGAUUUUACUAUGAUGGCCGGGUUACCUGG